rnacentral:lncRNA from 1 species
GGAAGGGAGGAAGCGUAGAAGGUGCCGAUGCACUUUUCCUCUCUCCAGCCCUCCUGACUGCUCCAAGAAUUUCAUCGAACAAGACUCAAAGAGGCCCAGCUGCUCUGCGUUUUGAUUCUUCUCCCUCUCUCAGUCCACACUGACCUGGGAGGGGCUUCUCAAACACCACAUUUCCUAGCGUGCUGUGAGAAGAGGACUGUGAGCUAAGAAGGGAGAAAAGGCACUCCCUCCUCAUCAACAAACACCUGACCUGGGUAGACCCUCUGCUUACCAAGAUCCAGUCCACCUUUUGACAUCAGCAUUCAUGCUGCCUCUUUUUACGAACCAAGCCAAAGUGGUCCCUUCCUCUGGAAAUUAUAGGAUACUUAAUGUACAUCAUAUCCAGCUUCCCGACUCCAGACUGUGGGAGAUGACACAGAGCCAGCCUGCCUGGAUGUGACUCAGCUCUGCAACUUAUUAAAGACCUUUGGCAAAUCA